rnacentral:rRNA from 2 species
UUGGAGGGCAAGUCUGGUGCCAGCAGCCGCGGUAAUUCCAGCUCCAAUAGCGUAUAUUAAAGUUGUUGCAGUUAAAAAGCUCGUAGUUGAAUUUCGGGGUUAGUAGGUUGGUCAUGCCUCUGGUAUGUACUGGCCUCACUGAUUCCUCCUUCCUGAUGAGCCGUAAUGCCAUUAAUUUGGUGUUGCGGGGAAUUUGGACUGUUACUUUGAAAAAAUUAGAGUGUUUAAAGCAAGCUAACGCUUGAAUACAUUAGCAUGGAAUAAUGAAAUAGGACGUUCGAUCCUAUUUUGUUGGUUUCUAGGAUUGACGUAAUGAUUAAUAGGGAUAGUUGGGGGCAUUAGUAUUCAAUUGUCAGAGGUGAAAUUCUUGGAUUUAUUGAAGACUAACUACUGCGAAAGCAUUUGCCAAGGAUGUUUUCAUUAAUCAAGAACGAAAGUUAGGGGAUCGAAGACGAUCAGAUACCGUCGUAGUCUUAACCAUAAACUAUGCCGACUAGGGAUCGGAUGAUGUUAAUUUUUUAAUGACUCAUUCGGCGCCUUACGGGAAAC